rnacentral:rRNA from 1 species
UCGAGGAUCUUCGGCAAUGGGGGCAACCCUGACCGAGCGACGCCGCGUGUGCGAUGAAGGCCUUCGGGUUGUAAAGCACUGUCGAGGGGGAGAAAAGCGAAAGCUUGAUCUAUCCCUGGAGGAAGCACGGGCUAAGUUCGUGCCAGCAGCCGCGGUAAGACGAACCGUGCGAACGUUGUUCGGAAUCACUGGGCUUAAAGGGCGCGUAGGCGGGUCGCCGCGUCUGGGGUGAAAUCCUCCAGCUUAACUGGAGAAGUGCCUCGGGUACGGGCGGUCUAGAGGUGGGUAGGGGCAUGCGGAACUGUGCGUGGAGCGGUGAAAUGCGUUGAUAUGCACAGGAACUCCGGUGGCGAAGGCGGCAUGCUGGACCCUUUCUGACGCUGAGGCGCGAAAGCCAGGGGAGCGAACG